rnacentral:rRNA from 1 species
GUGGGGAAUCUUCCGCAAUGGACGAAAGUCUGACGGAGCAACGUCGCGUGAACGAUGACGGCCUUCGGGUUGUAAAGUUCUGUUAUACGGGACGAAUGGUACGACGGCCAAUACCCGUCGUAAGUGACGGUACCGUAAGAGAAAGCCACGGCUAACUACGUGCCAGCAGCCGCGGUAAUACGUAGGUGGCAAGCGUUGUCCGGAAUUAUUGGGCGUAAAGGGCGCGCAGGCGGCGUCGUAAGUCGGUCUUAAAAGUGUGGGGCUUAACCCCGUGAGGGGACCGAAACUGCGAUGCUAGAGUAUCGGAGAGGAAAGCGGAAUUCCUAGUGUAGCGGUGAAAUGCGUAGAUAUUAGGAGGAACACCAGUGGCGAAAGCGGCUUUCUGGACGACAACUGACGCUGAGGCGCGAAAGCCAGGGGAGCAAACGGGAUUAGAAACCCGGGUAGUCC